rfam:Cavia porcellus supercont2_2 genomic scaffold, whole genome shotgun sequence.
AGCCCUUGUGUCUGUUUUUGUCUAAGUUUUGAACUAAGACUUACAGAAGUGCAAAAAAAUAAAUGGUCUUUUGCAAGCCAGAACUCAAGUGUUCACAAUGAAUUUGACACAUGUUAGAGGGAAUAGA